CCUACGGGGGGCAGCAGUGGGGAAUAUUGGGCAAUGGGCGCAAGCCUGACCCAGCAACGCCGCGUGAAGGAAGAAGGCUUUCGGGUUGUAAACCUCUUUUCUGAGGGACGAAGAAAGUGACGGUACCUCAGGAAUAAGCCACGGCUAACUACGUGCCAGCAGCCGCGGUAAUACGUAGGUGGCAAGCGUUAUCCGGAUUUAAUGGGUGUAAAGGGUGUGUAGGCGGGAAGGCAAGUCAGAUGUGAAAACUCAGGGCUCAACCCUGAGCCUGCAUUUGAAACUGGUUUUCUUGAGUGCUUGAGAGGCAAUCGGAAUGCCGUGUGUAGCGGUGAAAUGCGUAGAUAUACGGAGGAACACCAGUGGCGAAGGCGGAUUGCUGGACAGUAACUGACGCUGAGGCGCGAAAGCGUGGGGAGCAAACAGGAUUAGAUACCCUUGUAGUC
rnacentral:rRNA from 1 species